CUCGUCACCUGGGGUCACGCAGGCAGCACGGCUGGUUGGCAGCAGAAAUUACACACUACCUUCACUAAACGGUCGAUCCUAACAUUAUAGAGACUCAGCGGUCAGGUUUUUUUUGUUACCCCUUCCUUUCCCUGGAUUGGAUCCGUCGUAAGACUGGCGAGCUACCCAAGGAACUCUGAACUCCCCACACCUCCCCCCCUUUCCCAAAGAAGACUACCACGGUUAGGGUAGGAACAAGGACUCUGGGACAUGAGGAACUGAACUGAUUUAAGGUCGAUUAAAGAAAGGGCAGAACUUUAAUUUUUUUGUAUUUUUUUAAAAAGGCCUCCCUUUGUUAUUAUUGAUGGAUUGUUUGAAGUUGUUUGUGUUUAUUAUUUGGAAAAAAUAUUAUUUGUCAAUACACUUACUUUAAACUUAA